GGCGGCAUAGCCAAGUGGUAAGGCAGAAGAUUGCAAAUCUUUUAUUCCCCAGUUCGAAUCCGGGUGUCGUCUUU
rnacentral:tRNA from 1 species